UUUUUUUUUCUGUUUGAACUCAAAUAAAAGAAUUUAAUAGUUACUUAUGCAAGUGAGAUGUAGAACAAUCACAAUUAAUAUGUAUUCUUACUUUAUUUUUGCUUUAAAAGACAUUUUCUUAUGUGUUGAAAUAAAAAAGAAAUAGAACUUUUGUUAGAGUUCAGAAAAAUGAAAUGUGUAAAUGCCAAAAGCUUAGAUUUUUCUAAAACUACACCAUUUCAGAUAAAAAAAAAAAACACUUUCAAAACUAUUUCUUUUCAACGAAAUAAGAAGAAAAGUCACACAAAUUAUACAAGAAAAAAUAUUUUAGGUCGAAUACACCCAAAAUUAGAAACUGUUGAAAACAUAAAUUGAAUUAGUACAUUUAAUAGACAGUUUUUGAGCGAUAAAUGUGAUUUUAUUUUAUGGGACGAAGAUUAAAAAAAAAAAAUUAACCAACUCAUACUUUUGCAAAAAGUCCACAAGAUGUAUGAGUAAGUCGUAUCUCGUAUGCAUGGAAAAGCUUGUAAUCAGCUACGUAAUUCUUUUUAUUAUUUUUUUUAUUUUCGAUUUCAUGUAUUAUUUUGCUGUCCCGACUUUUUAGAAAUCUGUUGUCCUGACAUUAAUAAAAUUUUAUCUGGCAGCCCUAGAAUGGCGCAAAUGAGGGACCUCUUUUUUGGCCUUUUUUUGAAAAUCUACGAGCUGGGAGCUGCUUAAAUUAGUUUAAUGCACCACAGAAACUGUUUGUUUUCCAUUUGUUCCUUAUGAUUCAUGUCCAAUAUGAAAAGAGCUUAGCAGAUUCUUCUUUGGAAAAAGUUUUCUCAACGAAAUCUAAGUAUAUAAUUGAUUACGAAGUCCCAUCUGUAUAGGGAAUUUUCAAAUUUGGUCCUUGUCUCCUUAAAGAAGAGGUGCAGAAACCAAAGUGCAUAUGAAAUUGCAUCCAAUUCUUUGUUGAGCGAAAUCAGUUCUUCUGCUCUACCUCAAGAUUAAGAUGUAAAGCAAAAGGUCGCUUGUGCCAGUAUCAGCGUUUCUUCUUCAAACACCACUUACUCUUAUUUCUGGAGCAAGAACAAAAAACAAUUAGCAUCUUGGUCCUUGCAUUACUAUGAUUUCGAUUUAAUGAAAGCAAAACGUACUUCUUCUAGACUUUCGUCAGGAUCCAGAGAGCUCGACAGGCAUGUGAACGAAAUUAAGAAUUUUUAUAGAAAAUAAAAUAUGCACAUAUCUGUUAUUUUUAGGUUGUAUUUGUUUUAUUAUAUAAAAUACGUCAAUUUUACAUAAAUUUGUAUACAGUUUGUACAAAUUAAUUUUGUUUUUUAAUUCUAACAAAACCGGAGUGAUUAAAAUAAAUUGAACUAAAAUGAACUAGUUCAGAUUUCAGAACUAGUUCAGUAGCGUGAUUUGAACUUAAGUGAUCGAUCACUCAAAUGAACCAAAGUGCCCAAAUCUACAAAAGACACAGCCGAUGCCAUGACCUAUAGAAGAAGAAUCAUCGAUGAAAACCUUGAAGAAGGUAUACAUUUUUAUAUAACUAAAUUUUGUUUUUAUUUUGAUUAAAAAGACUCAAAGUCUUUUAAAGUGCCGUUUUUUCCCAACUCAAAGCUCAUUUUGUUUCAACUAAACUUAAAGUAACAUCUAUUCUCAUAUUAAUUGCUGAUAUCUACAAGUUAAUUAUAUUGCACUAAAACAAAUAAGGCUGUACUUUUUACAAAUUAAAAUUGUAUACAAAGUGAUAUGGAGAUGUAAAAAUUGAAUAUGCAAAUUAAAUCACUUGUCAAUCGGACAGACGACAUUCUCUGUCAUGCUUUAAAAUUUAUUUUGCAAACCGGAAAAUGUAUGUAACAAUCUAACAAUAAUUUUUAAAUAAUUGAAUAAAAAUAUCUAUCUAUCUGUCUACUUCAUCGAACUUUGUGCAAUAGCGAAACCGGUAUGGAUAUUUAUUUGUUAAAAAUUAGUUAACACAUAAAUUGCCACUCAGUAAGAACCCAAAAAAAACAAAAAUAAAAUAAACAAAACAAACAAAAUGUUAAAAGCAACAUGAGAUAUGAAUUAAAGGUAGAUAAUUUUCUUACUACAGUAUUAGUAAUAUGUAUACAAUUUUUUGAUAUGCAAAAGGGGGCACCGAAAAAGUUCAUACUUAAAAAAAUUCCUAUAGUAACAGAAAUUUCUACUUUUUAUUGUUAUCACAAGAACUUAUUUUAAUAUACAACAAGCUUUCAAUUCUUUAUUAGAAAUCAACAAAAAAAAAUAAUUAAGGUCAUGUGUCACAAAAAGAUUGUUUUUAAAAUGACUAUUUUUGUUUGUUUUUAAGUAAAAUGCACACAGAAAUUAUCUAGGAUCUAGGAAGGUGAUAGCAUACAAUUGUUGGUAUUUCUAAUGGAAAUUUGAUUUGGAUGUAUAAAUUGUGAAAUACUUGCUACUUGCCGAACCUAGUGGCGGUUUUUUAAGUAAGGAUGGCAUUUUAAAAAGAACAAUAAGGAAAACCUCCCUUGGCAUUUACCAAAAUGUCUGCUUUUGGAAGCUUAUUAUGGAUCCAUUUAACCACAAUAUACACUUAAAGCCUAAAGUAUCUAUGCGUUUUCAAGUGCAUUUUGGAUUGAGAGGGCAACAAUUAAAUCGUCUUGAACUUAAUUUUUUCGUAUCGUGGGAGAAAAUAAAUCCUAUCCUAUGAAACCUAUCGUU